rnacentral:tRNA from 1 species
GCCCGAUUAGCUCAGCUGGUUAGAGCGUCGUACUAAUAUAUCUCUGAUAUAAUUGGUAAUGCGAAGGUCAACAGUUCAAUCCUGUUAUUGGGCA